UACAGGGGGUGCAAACGUUGCUCGGAAUUAUUGGGCGUAAAGCGCACGUAGGCGGCUAUCUAAGUCGGAUGUGAAAUCCCUCGGCUUAACCAAGGAAGUGCACCCGAAACUGGAUAGCUUGAGUACAGAAGAGGAUCGCGGAAUUCCCGGUGUAGAGGUGAAAUUCGUAGAUAUCGGGAGGAACACCAGUGGCGAAGGCGGCGAUCUGGGCUGAUACUGACGCUGAGGUGCGAAAGCGUGGGGAGCAAACAGG
rnacentral:rRNA from 1 species